GCGGAUUCUCUUACCACUGGUGCCAUCUGGGAAGCCCCGGAGAAAAAGGAAAGUGAAUCUAUUAAGUGAAACACACACAAAUAUGGUGCUUUCUAUACCUGGAGAUUCUGAAGAAUCAGCCAGCAACACUGUCCCAGCUACUGCCGUGGCGCACGUUGUCUGGAGGCGGGACCAGGGACUUCCAGUCUCAUCCUCUGCCUCCUCCCUCUCAGUUCCUCAACCCACUUCCGGCGUCUAGGUAGCGCAUUUCCGGUGCGCUUGGAAUCCAGAGAGAUCCCACGGCUCCGUGUUGACGACGGCGUGUGAGGGGGCCCUAGGGACUUUAAGUGGCCACGGGCUUUUACUGGGACGGCUGCAGUGACGUCCGCAUUCUUCCCGAGGUCUGCUCAGAACGACCAACUGCAUUCACACACAAGCCGUUGUCACCAGCCCUCAUUUUGCUGAACGUUAGAUACCAUCCUGCCAGCGACAGAAGGCUUUGAGGCCAUUAGGCCCUCCCCCGGGCGUCACUCCUAGAGAGGACGGACUUCUGUUAGGUGCUCCGCUACAUUUCGGUCGCUCCAAGCAUCAGGAUGUGGGUCAGCGGGACCACUGGAGGGGAAGGAAUGGACCGCAGGAAGCGGAAGGGAGAAGCAACUCGGAGUGAAGGGAUGUCUAUUUGGGACGCCUCGGAAGCCUUACGGAGCGUUCAUAUAGGACUUUUAAUCCAAAUUCCUGGAGAGGAGUCUUUCUGCUACUAUGUGAAGAAACUUGAGUUGGCCUCCUGGAAGAUAAUGCAGAAGUGAAAGACCCCCAGCUGUUCUAGUACAACUAUCCAGCCAUUCCAGUUGAGACCAUCCUGUGUUACUGAGGUUAUACUAGAAGACCAGACUGGCCAGUUCAAAAGGUUAUG
ensembl:lincRNA